UUCAAUUUUCUUUCAGAGUAAUAGAGAGGCAGAGAUUUAAGAGAGGAAUAGAAAUAGUGGGAAAUCCUUUUUAUUGAAAUAGUAUAAUAUUAUAGAUAUGCUAAAGUCUUCCCAGUUAAAUAGCAGAGAGCUCUCAAGAGAGGGAUGUGAAUCGGGGGCAGCUCUGAGUAGCUUCAGGCUGGACUCCCAGUGGAGGAUGAUCCCCUGGGAAGGAGAAGCAGGUCCUGGGACAGAGAUCAGCUUAGCAGAGCGUGAAGGUCAAGGUCUUGUCAUGCAGGCAAGCAAGGGACCUCAUACAACUAUACCGUCUCUGCUGGAGCCUGACCAGUUUGUAUAAAACAUCAACAGGAACUAUUUCAGAAGAACCAUUGCUCAAUGCUUUCUAAAGUAGUGAAUUGUGAAAUGGGCCUACUUUUGGAUUUCUUGAGAAACAAUUGUGGAAGCAAAGAAAAGAAGAGCUUUGGAAGACACUGUUAAGAAAACCAAGAACCAUUUUAGUCUUGAGGUAAUUUUAAAAGUCUUGUAAGAGCUCAAAUAGAAAUUUCUUCUAUGACUUUUGACUUCCCUGAAAUUUUAUAGUUUGGUAGUGAUUGUAUAGAAAAGAUAAGUAUGUAGUUCAUAGAAUGACUAGUAUUGGAAAUGUAGUAAUAAGGAGAAAGAGAAACCUAUGCCAAUAUAAAAUACCAUAACGUGCUUUCAGAGCAACUCAUUUUAAUACAAAGUAGGUCAGUGAACAUUUGUAACCUCUCUGUAGGAAAAGCAUCAAAAAGCAUUCAACUAGCCUGAAAGGUAAAAUCUUUCCUAACCAGUUGUCAGUGUUUAGUAGACACAGCGUAUGGACAAGGGUGUUUCCCUGUAGUAUUUCACAGCCUGGAAUAGCUCAUUUUUUCCUUGACAAAUUCAACUUUUGUGUCAGUGGACCACCAUAAAAAGCAGAAACAAUGUUCAUCUCUACCCAGUCAACACAGGCUCUGCUGGCUGCUUGGACUCAGAAAUACUUUGGAUAGAAUCUUUUAGAAACGGUUCUAUGGCCUCUAGCAGGUAGGAAGAUGGAUGCUCCUACAGACUGGCUCUGAUUUUUCUUGAGAGCAAUUCUCUCUCAGUUUUACCACAAUAUACUGCACAUGAUUUCUUCAGGCUCAUUUAGAAGGGGGUGGAAGAUUAUUUUUACUGUAGCUACUUGCUGAUGGUAUUCAAUGAACUAUGGUAUGGAUAUGAUUAAUGAUAAGAAUCUAAUUACAAAAUAAAUCUGAUUAGUGUUGCCCUUUUGGGGAAUCAUCAUGAUUCAUUUAAUCUAAGCCAGAAAAUGACUCACUGAGCAGUUUGAAAAUGCUGAGUACGUGUUACACUAGAAAUGUCACAAGACAUCAUCAUAUGAUCUUAUACAAAGAGUAAUCUCUUCAACUGGGCAAUUCUGAGCAAAUCUAUCAGUAAAGAAGAAAUCACUGAAUCUGGAAAAACCAAAUAUCUGUUUGCAGGUGACUCACAUUAAGGGUGUGUCUGGAGAUCCUGACUGGUGGCAGCAAAAAGAUCCUGGUGGCAGCAAAAAAAAACAAAACAAUGGCCACUCUGGGACUUCCCUGGUGGUCCAAUGGUUAAGACCCUGAGCUCCUAACAUAGGGGGCUCAGAUUCUAUCUCUGGUUGGGGAACUAGAUUCUGCAAGCUACAGCUAAGACCCAGUGCAGUCAAAUAAAUAAAUUUAAAUGACAAAUAUUUUUUAAAUGGCCACUCUGAUGAAUUAUGGUUCACAAGAUAAUGUUUCUACAGGCACGAUCUGACUUUCACAAGUGCUAUUUUAUAUUUUUGCAAAAAUUACAGUGAUUAUCAGAAAGAUUAAGUACUUUGUACAAAGUCAUGUCAUUAGUAAGUGGCCAUUCUGGCAUUGAAACCCAUCCUAAAAUAUUAAAAUACCCCCCAUCCUAGGUCAGAUAGUCCACAGUAAGCUCAGCUCUUUACCCUAUCUGGUCACCUAAACUCAGGGAGUUACUGUUCACACUAAAUAUAGGUUGCCUUCUAAUCAUAUAUAUACCAUUGGUUUUGGCAGUGCUGUGUGUGGCUAUUUUAUGUAGUAUAUUUGACAACAUCAUCUUUUUUUGGUCUAAAUUAUAUUGCCUAUGACAUUCUCGUGUUUAUGGAAUUUAAUGAGAACAAAUGCACAUAUAAGCACACAAUCCAAGCCACAAGUUUCUCCCCAUCUUGUUAAAAUAACUUUGUCUCAAUUAUAAAAAUAAUAGAAAAGGUAUAAUGUAUGGUGAUGAAUUUAAUUAGACUUAUCAUGGUGAUCAUUUUGCAAUAUAUAUAUAUUAAACCAUUACGUUGUACACCUGAAACCAAUAUAAUGUUACAUGUUAUACUUCAAUUUUUAAAAAAGUUUUUGAUAGUUCUUAACUCAUAAAAGAAAACAGACAGCUAUAAAGAAGGAAAUAAAUAUCACCUAUCAAUCUAUGACACCAUAGUAACAACUUUUAAAGUACUGCUUAAUAGUCUUACAGAUUUUAUUUCUACACUUUAUUUUAAAUUAAAAAAUUGGAUCUUUUAUAUAAACUGCUUUAUCUUCCCCUAAUAUGAAUACUUUAUAAAUCAUGAACAUCUUUUUAUAUUACUGGAAUUUUGUGCUAGGAAAUGCUGGGAAGAUUCUAUUUUACUUCUUAGUCCAUUUCUACAGUGACAGACAUCAAUGCAUACUUGGCAUUUUCCAGCAAACACUUAUCAGAAGCUACAAUAUGUAGAGAUAUAGGAAAACAAGGUCACAGAAAAAGGAUCCACUGAGACAGGCUUUGUGUAAUUUAUCAACAUAUGAGUACUGAAAUGUCAUUUUUAUUUUUAUGAGACAUAAAUUUUCUGGAGGCUGAAUAUUGUAGAACAUUUUGCCAGAUUUAACUUAACAUGCCAUGGGAGACCAACCCAAACAGAAGCAAAUUUUGGUUGGACAGAUGAAGCUUGGCAAAUGUACAAAUUAAUUGUGAUUUAGAAAUGAAAAGUUAAUUUGUAAAAAAUGUUAAAAUGACUGAGUGGUUGAAGGUGCCUGUCUUUUCUCCGUGGUGUGAUACCACCCAAUUAAACAUCAAAUUGUGUCAAAUGUCGUCAGAACCCAACUCAAACCUCAGCUCCACUGGCUCUUUGCCAGCAAUCAGGAGGAAGCCCAAAGGGGCGCUAUGGUCAGCAAUUUCCCAAUCCCUGUGGAACUGAAGAGGAUGAAAAAGGAGAGGAAAGGGUAUCUCACAGUUAUAGUUCAUGAAACUAGAUCACAGAUAUUUAUUAAUGUCAAUAAUUCAUUCACUCAACAUUUAUGGAGUACCUAUUGAUACUUUGACUCAGUGGUGAAGUUUCUCUUGCCAGUUAGUUCAUUGUGUGUGUAUAUGUGUGUGCACACAUGUGUAUGACUGUGUGUGGGUACAUGUACCUGUGUGGAAUAAAUGCAAAUAAAUAAAUUAGAAACGAUGAUUAACAUGUAAUAGAUUUCAGACUUACUUUCUUUAGGUCAUUUACGUGAUGCUUGUAUUCUUAAAGCUCUUGCAUUAUUUUUUUUUUUUACCUCUGGAUGGAAUAUAUAGGAUGAUAUGUAUGUUCUUAAAAUACUAGAUGGAAUUUUAUUGAAGUUUA